UCUCAACUGUGUCUCAUAUCCAUCCAUCCUCAUAUCAGUGUCUCAGAACUCAUGCAACAGAUAGUUCACACAUGGGAUGAAUAAUGAAUAUGCACAUGUCAUCAAUCACAAUCAUAUCACGAUCACAUCAUAGUAUUACACAUCAUCUGUCUCAAUCAAGACCACAUCAUAGUAUUACACAUCACCUAUCUCAAUCACAACCAUAUCACGACCACAUCAUAGUAUUACACAUCACCUAUCUCAAUCACAACCAUAUCACGACCACAUCAUAGUAUUACACAUCACCUAUCUCAAUCACAACCAUAUCACGACCACAUCAUAGUAUUACACAUCACCUAUCUCAAUCACAACCAUAUCACGACCACAUCAUAGUAUUACACAUCACCUAUCUCAAUCACAACCAUAUCACGACCACAUCAUAGUAUUACACAUCACCUAUCUCAAUCACAACCAUAUCACGACCACAUCAUAGUAUUACACAUCACCUAUCUCAAUCACAACCAUAUCACGACCACAUCAUAGUAUUACACAUCACCUAUCUCAAUCACAACCAUAUCACGACCACAUCAUAGUAUUACACAUCACCUAUCUCAAUCACAACCAUAUCACGACCACAUCAUAGUAUUACACAUCACCUAUCUCAAUCACAACCAUAUCACGACCACAUCAUAGUAUUACACAUCACCUAUCUCAAUCACAACCAUAUCACGACCACAUCAUAGUAUUACACAUCACCUGUCUCAAUCACAACCAUAUCACGACCACAUCAUAGUAUUACACAUCACCUGUCUCAAUCACAACCAUAUCAC
rnacentral:lncRNA from 1 species